rnacentral:rRNA from 1 species
GAUGAACGCUGGCGGCGUGCCUAAUACAUGCAAGUCGAGCGAACAGACGAGGAGCUUGCUCCUCUGACGUUAGCGGCGGACGGGUGAGUAACACGUGGAUAACCUACCUAUAAGACUGGGAUAACUUCGGGAAACCGGAGCUAAUACCGGAUAAUAUAUUGAACCGCAUGGUUCAAUAGUUAAAGACGGUUUUGCUGUCACUUAUAUAUGGAUCCGCGCCGCAUUAGCUAGUUGGUAAGGUAACGGCUUACCAAGGCAACGAUGCGUAGCCGACCUGAGAGGGUGAUCGGCCACACUGGAACUGAGACACGGUCCAGACUCCUACGGGAGGCAGCAGUAGGGAAUCUUCCGCAAUGGGCGAAAGCCUGACGGAGCAACGCCGCGUGAGUGAUGAAGGUCUUCGGAUCGUAAAACUCUGUUAUUAGGGAAGAACAAAUGUGUAAGUAACUAUGCACGUCUUGACGGUACCUAAUCAGAAAGCCACGGCUAACUACGUG